UCCUACGAGUCGCGACGAAUCGAAAAACGGCAGCAAGGAGUGAAAAUUUCGAAAAAAUUACUUUACUGCGGUAAAAACAGCACAAAAGUGAACAAAUUUUGUCGAUAGACAGCAGCAAAUUGAAAUUUGAAUCGACGAGAAGACGAAUUGUAAGCGAAAGCACCGUAUGGCAGUU